UUGAGCGCAAACAAGUGGAAUUUUCACCAUGAGUUAUGUUAUAUUAUCAUCAUACGGGACCAGAUGUAUCAUAGCUAGCAGAAGAGAGCCCGAAACAUCUUCGGAUCAAGCAACCAACUGCAACAUUGCUUAAUGCAUAACAUGCUUAAAGGUAGUUUUGUUACAUCCGCACAUAGUGAAGUAACACAGACAGGUAGCUGGUUUAUCAUUUUUCAGGCAUUACAGAUUGGUAUCAGCCUCAUUUCUUCCCGCUCUUCUUCAGACCAGAGCCUCCCAGUGCACCCUUCUGUCCUGCCUUGGCCUUAAGCUCCUUCAGUGCCUGUU
rnacentral:lncRNA from 1 species